rnacentral:rRNA from 1 species
UACGUAGGGUGCAAGCGUUAAUCGGAAUUACUGGGCGUAAAGCGCGUGUAGGCGGCUUUGCAAGUCGGGUGUGAAAUCCCACGGCUCAACCGUGGAAGUGCACUCGAAACUGCAAGGCUAGAGUCCUGGAGAGGAAGGUGGAAUGCUUGGUGUAGAGGUGAAAUUCGUAGAUAUCAAGCGGAACACCGGUGGCGAAGGCGGCCUUCUGGACAGUGACUGACGCUGAGACGCGAAAGCGUGGGGAGCAAACAGG